AUUGAACGCUGGCGGCAUGCCUUACACAUGCAAGUCGAACGGUAACAGGUCUUCGGAUGCUGACGAGUGGCGAACGGGUGAGUAAUACAUCGGAACGUGCCCGAUCGUGGGGGAUAACGAAGCGAAAGCUUUGCUAAUACCGCAUAAGAUCUACGGAUGAAAGCAGGGGACCGCAAGGCCUUGCGCGAACGGAGCGGCCGAUGGCAGAUUAGGUAGUUGGUGGGAUAAAAGCUUACCAAGCCGACGAUCUGUAGCUGGUCUGAGAGGACGACCAGCCACACUGGGACUGAGACACGGCCCAGACUCCUACGGGAGGCAGCAGUGGGGAAUUUUGGACAAUGGGCGAAAGCCUGAUCCAGCCAUGCCGCGUGCAGGAUGUAGGCCUUCGGGUUGUAAACUGCUUUUGUACGGAACGAAAAGACUCUUUCUAAUAAAGAGGGUCCAUGACGGUACCGUAAGACUAAGCACCGGCUAACUACGUGCCAGCCGCCGCAGUAAUAC
rnacentral:rRNA from 1 species